rnacentral:rRNA from 1 species
UGGGGAAUUUUGGACAAUGGGGGAAACCCUGAUCCAGCCAUCCCGCGUGUGCGAUGAAGGCCUUCGGGUUGUAAAGCACUUUUGGCAGGAAAGAAACGUCAUGGGUUAAUACCCCGUGAAACUGACGGUACCUGCAGAAUAAGCACCGGCUAACUACGUGCCAGCAGCCGCGGUAAUACGUAGGGUGCAAGCGUUAAUCGGAAUUACUGGGCGUAAAGCGUGCGCAGGCGGUUCGGAAAGAAAGAUGUGAAAUCCCAGAGCUCAACUUUGGAACUGCAUUUUUCACUACCGGGCUAGAGUGUGUCCGAGGGAUGUGGAAUUCCGCGUGUAGCAGUGAAAUGCGUAGAUAUGCGGAGGAACACCGAUUGCGAAGGCAGCCUCCUGGGAUAACACUGACGCUCAUGCACGAAAGCGUGGGGAGCAAACAGG